UACAGAGGAUGCAAGCGUUAUCCGGAAUUACUGGGCGUAAAGCGCACGUAGGCGGCUUUGUAAGUUAGAGGUGAAAGCCCGGGGCUCAACUCCGGAAUUGCCUUUAAGACUGCAUCGCUAGAAUUGUGGAGAGGUAAGUGGAAUUCCGAGUGUAGAGGUGAAAUUCGUAGAUAUUCGGAAGAACACCAGUGGCGAAGGCGACUUACUGGACACAUAUUGACGCUGAGGUGCGAAAGCGUGGGGAGCAAACAGG
rnacentral:rRNA from 1 species